UUACUGUAGUAAACUUCAGACCUCAUUUACCUUUUAAACAGGGCAGUUUUCAUUGAUCUACCACCUCAGUUACCACUUAACCAGGAGAGACUUACCCCAGACAUCGUUUGGCUUAGCUCGUGGCACUGUGAGCACCAGUGCUCGCGAUGACCACCGUUUUGGCAUGCAAUGGCCGCGCCCAGAAUGGCUUCUUGCUCGGGCCCCUUCUCUGCUCAGCAUCUCAGCAAGCACGCGCAUGUCCAAUAGCUAGCCCGCGUUGUCGCCAUUCUGCUAGAGCCUUCUUCCCCUCCGUCAGCCCCUCCGUCAGCUCUCGUCGCCGCGCGCCCACAGACGCACUAUGGCCGACCGAAGCAUUUAUGGAGCCGUGGCUGUUUCCCCUCUUGUCCCCGAGCUCUGCUCGUCCGUAUGCACUUCUGUAGCUCGUCCGCUCCCCCUUCGUCGCGAUCCCGCACCUCCCCAUGAUUGCUGCGCAUCGCCGGAGUCUUGGCCGAGCUCGUGCGGCGGUGACCGGCUCGGGCACCUCGCCCCGCCUAUAAAUGGCCAGCCCCGAGCCUUCCCGAGCACCUCAGCCUCCUCGCCUCUCUACCAGUAGCGCCCCCGUCCACUCAAACAAGCUCGAGGAUGCCUCGAGCCCUCCAUUGGCCGCCAUGGCCGCUGCGGCACUCCGCUUAAAUUCGGCCUAACCGAGUCCUCCCUCUCUUUUUGGUCGUCACCACUAGCCUCCCCACUCUAGCGCAGCCCUCCCUAGCUUCUCGUUUCCUCGCCGGAGCCCGUGUGGCCGCGACCCCAAGAUCAGCCUCGCCGCCCGAGCUCUCUGUUCCGUGACUCGCCGUCGCCCCGUACCCUCUUCGGCGCUGAUUCUGCUCCAGGCGGGAGCGGCGAACUGUCCCGAGUCCACCGGUGGCCGGAUCUCGGCCGGAGACCACCGGAGCUGGCCGGGCCAUCGCCGGUGUCGCCCCUCCCCUGCUCCUCUGUUCUUCGCGUCGGGGAAGAAGAAGAAGGAGCCAGGAGAGGGAGAUGGAUAAGGCGGGCCCCCCCGUCAGCUGCUCAAGCCGGGCCCCGCCACGCUGACCUGGAUAAGUGACGGGCCCCACACGUGGGACCCCCACGUCAGCUGCUCAAGCCCCUGCCCCGCCUCUGCCACGUGUUUAAGUGGAGGCGUAAAACAGUCCACCCAAAAUGUGUUUUCUUAAACAGAAAGCGUAUUUCCAAGUUUGCGCUUCUGCCUUAUCCACUCAGGGACUUGUUUGUGAUGAUAUUUUUGCAGAAAAGUCCCUGAACUUCAAACCUUCAUAUCUUUUUAACCACAACUCCAAAUGAGCCCCUUCGGGAGAGAACUGUUUCUAGCAAAUCUUUUCGCGGCUUCACCGCACUUCUUCCUGGUGCCUUCUUCACCCCCAGGCAAGCCACAAUACCCACUUGCAUGAUAGUCAUGCAGUAGCCAUGGUUUUCAACUUGAAUAUUUAUUAAAUGAUUUCUUGUUUAAAAUAUGGUUAUCGUUAUUUCGGAAAUGCUUCUGGGAUUGUGCUUACUUGUUUGCUAUGUUGUUAUGCACCUGGUUAUCAUUCUCUGCUAGUGGCUUUGCUACUAUUACUUUCAUAUUGCCGUGCUUGAUAGUAGUACAUGUUGGGUUGGUCAUGCUCUUCGGUGCAUGACUAACGUCGGUUACCGAGUAGUGUUAAUAGGCAUUGUUCCGUUGCUAUUAGUUGGUUAAGUGUUACUCGGUGAUGUUAUUGAUAAGUUCUUGCAUGUUAUUUAUGGUUGAUGCUAGUGGUCAUGUUAUGUUAUACUAUGAGUAGUGUUGCACUUGUAAUAUUUAUGCUCGUCAUUAUGCCAUGUUCAGUUGGAGAUUAUUUCAUAGUUGAUGUGGUGGAUAGUUAUGUUGCAUCCCGUGAUUAUGUUGAUAUCAUGCUCAUGCAUUGUAAUUGCAUCAUGUUAUUUUAUCAUGGCUCAGCAUUUUGCAUUCAAGUUUAACCAGAUUUAAUUGAACUUGAACAACUGUUGGCUGAGUCAUGGUGCCG